AUGCACUGCAACAUGCAUGUACCUCCACAUCUGGGCUCUGGUGUGGAGAAUUCUAGGAUAUACAUGGAAAGAGACAUUGAUAAGCCUUUGCUGUUUGGAAACCUGUUGAGUGUCCUGUCCCAGGUGCAGCUGCAGGAGUCAGGACCUGGUCUUUUAAAACCUUCAGAGACCCUGUCCCUCACCUGCACAGUCUCCGGAUUCUCUCUAACCAGUUAUGGUGUACACUGGAUCCGUCAGUUUCCAGGGAAGGGGCUGGAGUGGAUUGGUGUUAUGAGGUAUAAUGGAGGUACAGCUUAUAACCCAGCCCUUCAAUCACGAGUGGGCAUCACCCGGGACACUUCCAAGAGCCAAGUUUCACUAACACUGAGAAGCCUGAGAUCUGAGGACACAGCCAUGUAUUACUGUGCAAGAGACACAGUGAGCGGAACUCCAUAG